UCUGCUUCUGUCAUUUCACAACUUUCUUGUUCGAAGCUUAGCGAAACAAGUAUUUAAGUUUUCUUCCACGACGUCAAACUUGCAACGACUUACUUCCUUUCACCGAACGAUAGUCUCGUUUUAACUUCAUCGCCGUUUCAAAAUCGUUAUCAAACGUAAAAAGAAACGGCGAUCGAACUUUUGUUUUUCACAACGACUGAAGUACAAUAUUAACUUCGAGAAUUAUCCAUAGAUUACACAAAGCACGGAAUCCUCUUCCAAACUUCGUCAUGCUUUUGCGUGGUGUGUAAAAAAAAAAAUAAAUAAAAUAAUCAAAAAUUGAUCUACAUCUAGGUUUCUGGAUAUCAGAAAUAUCCUCUCUGAUUGGAAAUGCAUUUGGAUCGAUAUACUGUGUGCGAGAUGGUGAAAAAUUUAAAUUUUCGUGCGCGUUAAUUGUUGAUAAGAAUGAAUAAUUCGGAUAUCUAUAAAAGGCUGCCCAACCCAGUGAUCACAACCUUUCGCCAGUACGACGGUAAUUCCGAACGGGCUUGAUCAACGCAUACAAAAGUUUAUUUUGAAAAUUGUGCCCGAGCGAUAACACCAGUUCGAACUCAUAUCAGACGUCGGGUAAUACCGUCAAUCAUAGAGCUGCGCAUUGCCAAUCAUCCGUAAAGGUUGUCGAGAUUUGGAAGUAGAUAAGCAAUCAGCUCUAUGUUCAAGGCCGAACGAAGUACAGAACGAUACAAGUUCAUCGAUACUUUUGCGACUUUGAUCUGUCAGCAAUAUUCCCUUUCGUUUCGUUUCGUUUAUUCUAUUAACUGUUUUCAAUCAUGCAGGUUCCUGACAGUGGCUCCCCGACCUGUGCGCCCUGUACCCAGGAGGUACGUUUCGUUUCUGGAUCGGUUAAUACACAUUGAGAUUGUAUCACCUGGAACGAUCAGCGUACGUGGAAAAAUAAGUUUUAAACUGCCGGAUAUCGCCACAUCAACUUGACGAGAUGCAUCUUUAUUCUGACAGGUGUAGACUCCAUUCAUGGACACUGUUACAAAAAAUGAAAUAUCAUUAUCACGGAAUCGUCUGUUUGUCGCAGGCGACAAGAGAAAGUGGAUCACCCGAACAUUUCAUUCCAAUAUACUCGAAAAUUUCGAAAUUGUGAUGUCCGAGAGAGAAGGAAUAUUAAAGUGCAUAGAAUCAACGUACAAGGGAGAUGCUAAGAAACCCAUCGACGUGUUUAUUUUACUUGGAACACGAGAUAUGCAUUGGAUGUUAUUUGCGGUGAAUCGAACUCUGACAUGAAUCGCACCUGCAAUCUUAUGGUUUCCCGCUCGUGGCAUCAGCGGUCUGUUCUCUCUCGUGUUUGACGUCCAACAAACAACCAUUCGUCUUACGCUUGAUUUUUCAUUCAUCAUGAAAGAAAAACAAGUCCGGAAUUAUAUUGCCCUCGUGAAAGGGUAUUUCAACAAGAUUAAUUAUUCGUUCGAUUUUUUUUUUCAGAAUCUGCAACGGGGAUCAACAUCGCUGCUCGAACGAAUCCCGGCUCGGAUUAUUCUCUGGCCUUGCACAAGUAGUAGAGUCACUCGUUUCAAACCUCGCGAAAUCAUUAGACUGUUUGCGUCUAAUUCGGGGUGUCUAUUUGUAAAAAAACGACGCAAUUAUCCGAACUCCAAUAUCUCCAAAGAGUUAUCGAGGAAAUGCUCAGAUUAAAUAGAGAAUC